rnacentral:rRNA from 1 species
AUGCCGCGUGUGUGAAGAAGGCCUUUUGGUUGUAAAGCACUUUAAGCGAGGAGGAGGCUACUUGGAUUAAUACUCUAGGAUAGUGGACGUUACUCGCAGAAUAAGCACCGGCUAACUCUGUGCCAGCAGCCGCGGUAAUACAGAGGGUGCGAGCGUUAAUCGGAUUUACUGGGCGUAAAGCGUGCGUAGGCGGCUUCUUAAGUCGGAUGUGAAAUCCCUGAGCUUAACUUAGGAAUUGCAUUCGAUACUGGGAAGCUAGAGUAUGGGAGAGGAUGGUAGAAUUCCAGGUGUAGCGGUGAAAUGCGUAGAGAUCUGGAGGAAUACCGAUGGCGAAGGCAGCCAUCUGGCCUAAUACUGACGCUGAGGUACGAAAGCAUGGGGAGCAAACAGGAUUAGAUACCCUGGUAGUCCAUGCCGUAAACGAUGUCUACUAGCCGUUGGGGCCUUUGAGGCUUUAGUGGCGCAGCUAACGCGUUAAGUAGACCGCCUGGGGAGUACGGUCGCAAGAUUAAAACUCAAAGGAAUUGACGGGGACCCGCACAAGCGGUGGAUGAUGUGGAUUAAUUCGAUGCAACGCGAAGAACCUUACCUGGUCUUGACAUGUACGGAAUCCUCCAGAGACGGAGGAGUGCCUUCGGGAACCGUAACACAGGUGCUGCAUGGCUGUCGUCAGCUCGUGUCGUGAGAUGUUGGGUUAAGUCCCGCAACGAGCGCAACCCUUGUCCUUAGUUGCCAGCAUUAAGUUGGGCACUCUAAGGAGACUGCCGGUGACAAACCGGAGGAAGGUGGGGAUGACGUCAAGUCCU